rnacentral:rRNA from 1 species
UACGUAGGCAGCGAGCGUUGUUCGGAGUUACUGGGCGUAAAGAGUGCGUAGGUGGUCCUCUAAGUUUGGUGUGAAAUCUCCCGGCUCAACUGGGAGGGUGCGCCGAAAACUGGAGGGCUUGAGUGUGGGAGAGGAAAGCGGAAUUCCUGGUGUAGCGGUGAAAUGCGUAGAUAUCAGGAGGAACACCUGCGGUGUAGACGGCUUUCUGGACCACUACUGACACUGAGGCACGAAAGCGUGGGGAGCAAACAGG